UCUGGCGACCAUACCGCGGGUGAAACUCCUCUUCCCAUUCCGAACAGAGCAGAUAAGCCCCGUUGGGCCGAUGGUACUAUGCGGGCGACCGCAUGGGAGAGUAGGUCGUUGCCAGGA
rnacentral:rRNA from 1 species